rnacentral:misc_RNA from 1 species
GCUUGGAGAUAUAAGAAAAAGAAGGAACACGUUCAGUUCAAGACCAUGAUUAAAAGAAACAGAAAAUUCCAUAACCUCUACCUGUUUGCUCAAUGUAAUAACCAUAAAUGGAGUCUAUCAGCUUCACAUGCAUGUUCAGAGUUAGCUGGGUUAGUUUUUAGGCUUACCAGACUACAAGCAAAUGAAAAAAUAUUGUUGACCAGGUUAACUGUUUCAACAAAUAAGCCCUAUUAUUUGUAUUCACUUUGGAGAGCAUGAACAUAGCAGUCAAGACAGCAAGAUCCAUAAUCUGAAUAGUUCAACCAACUACCAAUCCUAGAUUUAAAGUAAGUAUAUUAAAGAAUCAAAUCCAAUUCCAUCAGUGACCCUUGGAGGAAACAAAAAGUGGAAAAACCAAGAUAAACCUGAAGGAGAUCAACCACAAUAAUUAGCAGAACAACUAGAGAUGACAAUAUGAGGAUGCGUAUAUAUACAAUGCCUUGCCUAACCAAUAAUAAUCACAAUACUAAUGCAGCUAUAGAAUUACUCUAGUUAAUGAUGCCACUAUCACCAUUUGCAUUUUGUCAGUUUAACACUCAUGUAGCUGCAAUAUUUCUGUUUCCAUAAUUUGCCCUGCUUCAUCCUUUAGGCAUUGAAUUCAUAGUUUCAAUUAACAUGGACCCGUAUGCCUCCAUAAAUAUUCAACUUUGAAGCAAUAUUUAUUGUAAAUCCGUUUUCUAGGCCUAAAAGAAGAGGAAAAGAAUAACAGAAACACCAACAUAGUCCCUCAAAGUGAAUUAAUUUAUUUGAACAUAGCAAAAACUGGACAGCAGCCAUGAAAAAAACUGUUAAUUUAAUUCCGUAGCACAUAAUCACAGCAAUAGCAGCAACAAUAAAAAUUACCCAUCAAACAAAAAACAACAGUAUUAAUUGAAUAAUAGAAUUGUUUUCGACUAUUAAACAUAACAAGAGAGAGAGAGAG